rnacentral:rRNA from 1 species
AACGAACGCUGGCGGCAUGCCUAACGCAUGCAAGUCGAACGAAGGCUUCGGCCUUAGUGGCGCACGGGUGCGUAACGCGUGGGAACCUGCCCCUCGGUUCGGAAUAACAGUUAGAAAUGACUGCUAAUACCGGAUGAUGACUUCGGUCCAAAGAUUUAUCGCCGAGGGGUGGGCCCGCGUAGGAUUAGCUAGUUGGUGGGGUAAAGGCCUACCAAGGCGACGAUCCUUAGCUGGUCUGAGAGGAUGAUCAGCCACACUGGGACUGAGACACGGCCCAGACUCCUACGGGAGGCAGCAGUGGGGAAUAUUGGACAAUGGGCGAAAGCCUGAUCCAGCAAUGCCGCGUGAGUGAUGAAGGCCUUAGGGUUGUAAAGCUCUUUUACCAGGGAUGAUAAUGACAGUACCUGGAGAAUAAGCUCCGGCUAACUCCGUG